rnacentral:lncRNA from 1 species
CGGGUGGACGCGGCCGUCCUGGCUGACCUGUCCCUGCCCCCGCAAGCCGCCCUGGGCAUGAGCGACUUUUGCGUGGUUCCCGGUGGUUGCGCUCCCCGUUUCGUCCCCUCCGUGAGCAUCGGCGCUUACCGCGGAAUGAACUAUGCAGAUAACAUCACAUGAAGGCCGUUUCUGGAAUGAAGUCUGACUCCUCCAGUUUCACCACCUCUUCCGGAGCUCUCCCCGCCUUGCUGCCUUCCAUCGCUUCAUCCUCGGUGCUUCCUGAGUUUUAAAAUCGCCUAUCUACGCUUCCAAGUUCCAAUGAGUUAUCUAACGUCUAUGGAUUAG